rnacentral:ncRNA from 2 species
ACUGGCUUGUGGCAGCCAAGCGUUC